AUCGACUCUGGGGCAGCGGAGCGGAGUAUUUCAUUGAUAGGAAAGUCCCUGCUAAACAUCUCUUGCCACUACGGCAGAGAGACUGACCUAUAGCGGUUGAGGCUAUUGAUGGAAGACCUCUUACACAACCUCUUAUUAACCAAGAGACCUUGCCUACCACUGUUCUAGUAGGUAUAUUGGUUUUCCAAAUUAUUUCUUCUCUUUCUUGUCCCAUAAUGCUCG